rnacentral:rRNA from 2 species
GCCUAAUACAUGCAAGUCGAGCGGAUCUUCAUUAGCUUGCUUUUGAAGAUCAGCGGCGGACGGGUGAGUAACACGUGGGCAACCUGCCUGUAAGACUGGGAUAACUUCGGGAAACCGGAGCUAAUACCGGAUAAUCCUUUUCCUCACAUGAGGGAAAGCUGAAAGACGGUUUCGGCUGUCACUUACAGAUGGGCCCGCGGCGCAUUAGCUAGUUGGUGAGGUAACGGCUCACCAAGGCAACGAUGCGUAGCCGACCUGAGAGGGUGAUCGGCCACACUGGGACUGAGACACGGCCCAGACUCCUACGGGAGGCAGCAGUAGGGAAUCUUCCGCAAUGGACGAAAGUCUGACGGAGCAACGCCGCGUGAGCGAUGAAGGCCUUCGGGUCGUAAAGUUCUGUUGUCAGGGAAGAACAAGUAUCGGAGUAACUGCCGGUACCUUGACGGUACCUGGCCAGAAAGCCACGGCUUACUACGUGCCAGCAGCCGCGGU